rnacentral:rRNA from 1 species
UUGGAUUGUGUGCCAGCAGCCGCGGUAAUACGUAGGGGGCAAGCGUUAUCCGGAUUUACUGGGUGUAAAGGGAGCGUAGACGGCACGGCAAGCCAGAUGUGAAAGCCCGGGGCUCAACCCCGGGACUGCAUUUGGAACUGCUGAGCUAGAGUGUCGGAGAGGCAAGUGGAAUUCCUAGUGUAGCGGUGAAAUGCGUAGAUAUUAGGAGGAACACCAGUGGCGAAGGCGGCUUGCUAGACGAUGACUGACGUUGAGGCUCGAAAGCGUGGGGAGCAAACAGG